rnacentral:misc_RNA from 1 species
GAUGAAGAACGUAGUAAAAUGCGAUAAGUAGUGUGAAUUGCAGAAUUCAGUGAAUCAUCGAAUCUUUGAACGCACAUUGCGCCCCUUGGUAUUCCAUGGGGCAUGCCUGUUCGAGCGUCAUCUACACCCUCAAGCUCUGCUUGGUGUUGGGCGUCUGUCCCGCCCCCGCGCGUGGACUCGCCCCAAAUCCAUUGGCAGCGUUCCUUGCCCCCUCUCGCGCAGCACAUUGCGCUUCUCGAGGGCGGCUCCGGGACGCGAUCCAGCAAGAUGACCACCGUCUUUGACCUCGGAUCAGGUAGGGAUACCCGCUGAACUUAAGCAUAUCAAUAAGCGGAGGA